CUAGCUUUUGUGCUCACUCUGAUUCUCAGGAGACGCUUGGCAAAGAGGGUUUUCUGGAGGGAAUGUGUGUGUGUGCACAUGCGGGUGUGUGUGUGUGCAUGCGUGCCUCCCCCCACCCCACGCUUGUGGGGUGACUUCCCCCCCUCCUUCUCCAGCUCCUAUCCGGAGCUAAACACUGUCCAGUUGCUGCUGCCUCUAAACCCUGUUAUGAGAGUCUUGGGGCCUCAGUCACCCUGCGCUUGCAAGAUCCCACAGACCCACACUUGUGGGAGAAGGCGCUUGUGGGGGGGGCGGGGAGGACAGGCGGGUUCCAACAAACCUCUGGGGCCGCAGGCAAAGAGCUCAUGGCAAAAGUGACUAUUGGAAAAAAGCUCACGGGUGCCAGCUUUUACAUUUUUUCCAGGAUGAAUUAAUUGGGCAAGGAUGAUGACUCAUGUUGGCACGUCGAGCGGGAAUAGCCAAUGCACGCUAAAGGGGCAGGUGGAGGAAGAAAGAUGAAUGGAUAAAGAAUCUAUGUAUACACUGGAAUGUUCCUCAGCCAUUAGAAACGACAAAUACCCACCAUUUGCUUCGACGUGGAUGGAACUGGAGGGUAUUAUGCUGAGUGAACAAAAAAUGAGUUCAUUUGGAAACAGAAGAAAACUGCAACUUGGGACAUGCAAGGCACUGCAAAACCGUAGGCAAGGAGAUGACCCCUCUUUAUCAUAGAGGAAGGGUGCGGUGGAGUUGGGAGUUGUUAUAAACUAAAAUCCCACUGGAGCAAACUGGGAGUUCCAAGGCUUGUGGCUUCUCACCCCCUGAGUUGUGACUGUCUCCGAUUGGCUGGGCUGUUGCUGGGGCAGAAGGAAACCUUUCUUCCUCCUAAAGUAGUGGGUUUUGGUUUGUUUGUUUGUUUGUUUGUUUUUCUAAAGUAGUGUUCUU